AUAAACAAAGUGACGGGAUACGGUCAUAAUUACAUCUUCAUAAAUGUGAUUGAGUCUUUUAUUUAUACGCAGAUACAUUUGCUCAAGUCUCAGGUGCCAGUGGGAAGUAAUGCUGAAUUCAACUGUACAACAUCCAGUCCUUUACGCAACAAACAGUCCAGGAACAUGAUCUUGGUUUAUCUAAUCAAAAAUGGAAAUCCUGUUAAAGUUAAUAUUUGGGACAAAGAGAAGACGAUGACAACAUUCACUCUCAGAGAGGUCCAGAUGGAAGAUGCUGGGACGUACAGUUGUGUUGUAUUGUUAAAUAUACUCCCUUACCACGAAAUGAAAAUUCAUCAAAAUAUUAAAGUUGAUCUUCAUGUAACUGCAACAUCUCACAGCGGUUUAAUUGUCAUAAUGGGCUCUGUCACAGCGUUACUUCUCAGUCUGUUUCUGGGAAUCUGGGCACUGAUCCAAAGACG